GAGGAGUCUGCUCUCUGAACCCUCCCUAUGAAAUUUCCACCCUGCGAAAUUUCCUCCUGCUAGGACGGGUCCACCCACCGGGAGUGUCCUACCAUUUCCUCUCCGACAGCGCGAAUUGUCUGAGUGUUCUGAACUGAACGAAUCAAGAUACGUAAAAGAGUAUGGAAGGAUGCUGAGUCAAUGCUCCCAUUUUAUGGAUGUGAACAUGAAGGCCUGAGGGAGGGAAGUACUGGGAAUCAGGUGAUCUGGCUCUGAUCAAUUGUAUAAACUCCAAGAAUUGUGGCCUCGCCCAACCCAGGGGGCCUACCUCCAAGCUCCCUUUGCUGCCCUUCAGCCACACCUGGCAGAUCAGAGUGACAUGUCUCUGUUGCUUUGGAAUAUUAAUUAAAGCAGCGGCAGCCAGUCCCCGCGGGCUUUCUCAGCAGCCGGACUCAGCGGCCAGCCUCCUCAG
rnacentral:lncRNA from 1 species